CAACCAAAUUGGGAUACAGUGUACUUAUGAAUGUCCUAUAAAAAUGUGGCAUUUUUAUAAUUUUGACAGUUUAUAAAUUUUGACAAUGCUACAAGAAGUGCCUUUACUGUCGGAUAAUCAAAUUUAAGUUUCUUUUAAUUUUUUUACGAAAUGGGCAAUUUAAGUGAACAGCACAAGAUUAAAAUCUUAAUGAUGAUUGGGUACAGAGAUAGAACAAGAACCCAAAAUGAAGUUUUGCAUUUAUUCAGGCAGAAGUAUCCUGAUUUACCACCCAUAUCUCAAAGUACUAUAAGCAAGAUUGAAAAACAGUUUCGGGCAAAUGGUCGCGUAAGAACAAUUACUAGUUCUCGUCUCGAUCUGCGCUUAAUGAAGACACUAAAAUAAAUGUGUUAUUAGCCAUUGAAGAAAAUCCUAAUAUUCCCGCUAGGCAGGUAGCGCGCGAAUUGGAAGUGACCCAUUCUUCAGUAGUAAGUGUUCUUGAAGCAGAAAACUUUCAUCCCUAUAAACUAACAAUUCUCCAGUAACUCAAUGAGCAGGAUGCAGAUAGAAGAAUUGAAUUUUGUGAACAAUUUAUGGAAUUAAGGCAGAAUAAUAAUUUUAUUACAGAAAACAUUCUCUUUUCCGGUGAGUCGACAUUUAUGCAGAACGGAGAAGUAAAUCGUCAAAAUUGCUGUUAUUGGGCACAAGAAAAUCCACGUUGAAUGAGGCAAGGCCACACUCAACACCCAGAAAAAGUAAAUGUUUGGGCAGGAAUUCUAGGUCAGCAAGUUAUAGGCCCAAUUUUCUUCGAAGAAAAUUUAAAUGGAGCAAGAAGCUGAUAUGCCGAAUAGAAACAUCUGGUUUCAGCAAGAUGGUGCGCCUCCCCAUUUUGCAAGACCUGUUCGAAACUAUCUGGAUGCUAUUUUUCCAGGCAGUGGGUUGGCAGGAGAGAACCUUUUGAAUGGCCACCAAGAUCGCCCGAUUUGACUCCCGAAUUUUCUCCUAUGGGAUUUUUUGAAAUCUAAAGUUUAUGUGACCAAGCCAAUAUUUGGGAGUCGAAACAUUUCUCAAGAAUGCAAAGAAACAUUCAAAAUGAAUUUAUAAACGUACGUUUAGGGCCUUGCCAAAUAGUAAAUGGUUUACAUUUUGAACACUUAUUAAAGAAAAAGAUUUAAAAGAACCCUCUUUAAGUUUAUGAAGUACGUUUUCUUUAACGCUCUGUAUCUUAAAAAUAAAUCAAAUAAAGGUAUGGCAUGUGAUA